UUACAAUUGCAUUGUACAGUGGACCAAAGUGGCUGCACGCAAGCACUCUAGCCCACCUACUUCUGUAAAAUGUCCUCUGUGCAAGACAGAAAAUUUUUCUAUACUACAUGGAUAUGAUGGAAGUUCAUUUCAACGGCAUUACAUUAAUCGAGAUUUUGGAUAAAGCUUUCUCUUAACAA